rnacentral:tRNA from 5 species
GUGGAUGUAGCUUAGCUGGUUAAAGCGCCAGAUUGUGGCUCUGGAGACCGUGGGUUCGAAUCCCAUCUUCCACCCCA